GUUUGACCACAUGUGUCUGGGCAGAGCAACAGGGAGAUGGGAGCAUGUGGAAGAGGAGGGUGUACUUCUCAUGCGCCCAGAAGAUGGACCUUUCCAUCCCUGAACCUCAAAUGCUUGAACCCUGUGGGUGCCGGAUGUGACAGGAUGGGCACAUCGUUUUCCACCAGAGGAACUGCCUGAAUGGAAGCCAGGUACCUGCAUGCAUCCCGUGAGCCCUGGCCAUCUGGUGUGAUUUCCUCAGGUGGGUCGUUGGUGAGCUCUUUCCUUGGUUUUGUGGACAGUCUAUUUGUCGACCCUGAGCUGGUUAAAAGACCAUAUUUCGAUAGCAAUCUCUUUAGUCUGCUUUCAGAAUAUUUGCUUUGCGGUUAUCUGUUUGUUUGUUUGUUUGAAAGCAUUUUGUUCUAAUAUUUGGUUUGGUUUGCUUGCUUGCAUUCAGAAUUCUAAAGGCAAUUUAGAUUCUGCUAUUUGGCUCCUUUUCAGUAUUUUAUCUGCUUCUGAGACUUUGAAGGCAUUUUAGUUUCUGUUUUGUUGUGGUUUUUCUUGUCCUUGAAAUGUUUAUAUCACUUGACCUUUGCUUCCUGACAUUUGACCUUUGCUUCCUGAUGUUCCUCAAAUGCUUAAUUCUGCCUUUUUUUCUGCUACUUCUCCUGUGACCUUGUCAAACCUUUAGCUUAGGAGUUUUAUGAUAGGGACACUGAAGGGGAGAGGCACUUGUUCGCCCCCACCCCAAACCACACUACAGAGUUAGGCGUCAGGGGGAAUGCCUCGCUGUGUGCAACAGCCUCAAGGGAACUCAGCAAAUGUGCCUAUUCUGGGUCAGAAGACAUUUCACUGGCUCGUCCGUCUGCCUGGGAAGACACCGGUUUGUUCACCUAGAGUCUUGAGCGCCCUCACGCUUAUGUAACAUGUAAGGAAGACCCAGUAGGAGAAGUUGGUUUCAGGGUAAAAGCUGAGAAAGCCUUUGCCAAAAGCAGCACAGAAAACUGACCAAAACCACAUAGUCUCUAGCUAGUACAGAUGGGUAACUUCUCAGAAUAGAAAAAGAAAGAGAAUAUAUAUAUAUAUAUAUAUAUAUAAGGCGGCAAUGAGGUUUCCACAGAGGGGGAACUGCCUGGAGGUAAAUGGCCAUCUGCCUUUCCAGCAGCUCUAGGAGUGAUAAUUGCUGACUAACUUGCAAGUGUUUGGAAAAAACACACUAAAGAUAACCCAAACAGUUACCUCCAGAGUAGGAGGCAAUAAAAGCAAAGUCCUAGGCAAAAAUCACAAACAGGCAGCUGGCUUUAACUGAGAUGUAAAAUGAUCUCCCAAAACUGAUCAAGUAGGCAAUUCAUAACAAAUAGCUCUUAAGCCAGAGGAGUUAAAGUAGAUGCUAAAAUAAAAAAUUAAUAAAAACUUUUGGGAGGUUUAUGUCAAAGGUCAAUUCUGAGAUAGCUCUCCUCUCCUCCCUCUUCCCCCACCCUUCCCCCUCUUUUCCCUCUUCCUCCCUUUUCCCCUCCUUUUUCUCUGGUCUGCUCAUCGUGGCCUCCUACCUUACCUUCUCUUGAGCAGCUUUGUUCCCUUUAACUCCCACGCUUAUAUCAACAUGUCUUAACCAGCUCUAAAAGUCCUUUUGGCCUUAAAACCCCAAAUCUCAGCUUGGACUGAGCUUAGGGGAUCACGUCAGACUAUUAAAGAUAACCAAAUGCAUCUGUCUGUGUCCCCUCUGCAGCAAUCCUGGGGACUUAUCCUGAGCCCCAUCUUCAAGCAUCUUGGGGAGUUUCCCUGUUUGCUAUCUUGACCUGUCAAUCCUCCUAAACAUGGGGUUCUGGGUCCCUCUUAUCUAACAAGAAACUCUCUAAAUGUUUAAGUGCCACCGACACCAACGGUAGACAUUUCCCAGAGCCACCAGCUCUGCUACUGGGUCACAUGUGGCUUUUUCAGGAGAACUUCAUCAUCAAAACUGAUCCCCGGAGUAACCAGUCUAUUAGAAAUCACUCUCAAGAGAUACAUGUGUCUCAGCUGACUGUCACUAUUGAAGCCAUGGAACCUCAGGACAUAGGAGUUCCCCAGAAAUCUCAUGUUGGGAGUGGGAAGGGCACCAGCUGGAGGGGGACCUUGUCUCCCUGAUUUCAAACAGUUCUAGCAACUUUUCUAAUCCCUCAGAGAGACUGAAGCCUGAUGACGGCACCACCUCCACCAGGUCUGAUUAGUCUUGCAUAGCCUCAGCCCUCUAUACACUGACCUCACUCCAGGUCCCGAGACAAACUUGCAGGUUUGAUGGAUCUUACUGUCUCCCUUCCCAGUGUUGAUCACACGACUAAAUCUCCUUUUUGUCCAUUCCACUUUUCAUUUGGCUCUUUUAAUGGUCUCAAAUCUUUUUUUUUUGUGGGGGGGCAACUAACGUGAGUUUUUAGAUUAAAAAAAAUUAAAUCUGCUUUUAAGAACAAGAUGUGAUCUCCUGAUUCUUAACCCAGUCUGGUUUACAACAUGGACCCUAACCCUCGAGGGUGGAAAGUAACUGUAUGAUGCUCCUUCUCUAGGAUAUGUUUUUCCCAGUGAACAACCGCCACCCUCGGCACACUAAACUCUAGCCCAUAGACUAACAGGCUAACUCACACCUGUGCUUUCAGUAGGUCUCCUUCACAUGUGUUUGUAUGUGCACCAACAUUUCAAGGGUGCUUUUGAGCAGCGCUGCCUCUUUAAAAAUAAACGAGGGGAUGAGCAGGGUUUUAAGCAGGGUUGCGUACCUUGGCAAG